GCAAGUCGNGGGGUAACAGGGGAGCUUGCUUCCGCUGACGACCGGCGCACGGGUGAGUAACACGUAUGCAACCUGCCUGUAAUUGCGGGAUAGCCUUUUGAAAGGGAGAUUAAUACCGCAUGUGAUUAUAUUACCGCAUGGUAAUAUACUUAAAUGCAAAGAUUACAGAUGGGCAUGCGUUUCAUUAGCUAGUUGGGGGGGUAACGGCCCACCAAGGCUACGAUGAAUAGGGGUUCUGAGAGGAAGGUCCCCCACACUGGUACUGAGACACGGACCAACUCCUACGGGAGGCAGCAGUGAGGAAUAUUGGUCAUGGACGGAAGUCUGAACCAGCCAUGUCGCGUGCAGGAUUACGGCCCUAUGGGUUUUUAAACUGCUUUUAUACGAGGAUAAAAUGUACUAUGUAUAGUAUAUUGCAGGUAUCGUAUGAAUAAGGAUCGGCUAACUCCGUGCCAGCAGCCGCGGUAAUACGGAGGAUCCGAGCGUUAUCCGGAUUUAUUGGGUUUAAAGGGUGCGUAGGCUGGGAAAUAAUCAGCGGUGAAAGUUCGGGCUUAACUUUGAAAUUGCCGUUGAAACUGUUUUUCUUGAGUAUAUUGGAAGUAGGCGGAAUGUGUAGUGUAGCGGUGAAAUGCAUAGAUAUUACACAGAACCCCGAUUGCGAAGGCAGCUUACUAUACUAUUACUGACGCUGAUGCACGAAAGCGUGGGGAUCAAACAGGAUUAGAUACCCUGGUAGUCCACGCUGUAAACGAUGAUAACUCGCUGUUUGCGAUAUACCGCAAGUGGCCAAGCGAAAGCGUUAAGUUAUCCACCUGGGGAGUACGCCGGCAACGGUGAAACUCAAAGGAAUUGACGGGGGCCCGCACAAGCGGAGGAACAUGUGGUUUAAUUCGAUGAUACGCGAGGAACCUUACCCGGGCUUGAAAUGCAUCUGACGUACUGUGAAAGCAGUAUUCUAGCAAUAGCAGAUGUGUAGGUGCUGCAUGGUUGUCGUCAGCUCGUGCCGUGAGGUGUCGGCUUAAGU
rnacentral:rRNA from 1 species